rnacentral:lncRNA from 10 species
CGCUCCGGUCCCCUUCCACGCUGUGGGAGCUUUGUUCUUUUGCUCUUUGCAAUAAAUCUUGCUACUCCUCACUCUUUGGGUCCACACUGCUUUUAUGAGCUGGAACACUCACCGCGAAGGUCUGCAGCUUCACUCCUGAAGCCAGCGAGACCACGAGCCCACCGGGAGGAACCAACAACUCCAGACGCGCCGCCUUAAGAGCUGUAACACUACCGCGAAGGUCUGCAGCUUCACUUCUGAACCAGCUAGACCACGAACCCACCAGAAGGAAGAUACUCGGAACACAUCCGAACAUCAGAAGGAACGAACAACUCCAGACGCGCCACCUUAAGAGCUGUAACACUCACCGCAAGGGUGCGCGGCUUCAUUCUUGAAGUCGGUGAGACAAAAAACCCGCCAACUCCGGACACACUAUCACUGCUCCCAGGGAGAUAAUUCACUUUUUGAAGCCCAGCAGGGAGGAAGUACACUUUUUGAAGCUAUGCAACUGUGAACACUGUGAUUUAGAGGGGAUGAAAAAGAAUAGCAGAAAAAGGAAAGGGAAAAAAAAAGAAAAGAGACAAAAUUUCUAACUAAAAAAAUUAAAAUUAAAAAAAACCAAAAAACAAAAAAACCUUCCCCCUUUACAAUCAGGCUUGGCCUGACAGCCAGCUUGAAAAUCUAGGGCAGAACACAAGGGACUUCCCACCAAGAACUAUGGCUGAUUAUUCCAUUUUACAUUUUUAAAAAGAAAAGGAGAAGAAGAAAAAAAACUUCUCGGAAGUGCGAAUGAGGAUUGAAUUGCAGUAAAGCACAACAGGCCACCAUGUCUGAGCAACAGGGAUUUGGUUCUCUGUAUGGAGAUGCAGUCUGACAAGACAAGUUCACUGCAGUUCACAGCGCCGUUGAACGCCAAGGCCCAGGAGGUUCACAUCUGGGACUCAGCACACAAGCAUUAUCACUGCUACAGCUGCAGCCCAAGCUGACUAAGACUCACCAUCUCACUAAAAUCACAGAGGUCAUGCUUAUCCCUAUUUUGCAGACGAGCAAACUGAGACUCAGAGAAGAUUAGGGAACUCGACCAAAGCAGUCCAUUGGCUGAAAGUAGCACAUCCAGAGUUUUAGCCCACAGCUACCUGACUUCGCAGCAAACGUGUCAGGCUCACCACCACAAAAUUGCACAUAUGCACUCCUUGGCUCAUGAUCUGAGCAAACUCAACUCAAGAAAAUGAAUAUUGAGAGGAGUCCCAAUUGUAGCCUAAGUCCAUAGGCCUCAAUCUGAAGGAAAUUGAACUGAAUUGGAAGAAAUGAGGCUUCAACCAGGAGAAAAUUUUAUUUAAAAUUGAAAGGUAAUCGUUUUGGAUUUCUUCAGGCCACAUCUCUCUAGGUCCUUUAUUUAUGAUAUAGGUAAGGGUAGAAAGAGCUAGUAGAUAUAAAUCUGCCAAUAAAAAUGAUAUCUAGCUAUGCUUCAAUCAACUGCAAGUCUAUGUUACAGGAUUUCUCAGCAGUUAUUGGCAGAAGAGAACGUUUUCUCUUUUGUAGUCUAUACAUUAGAUGUGAAUUGAAGUGACUUCGACUCAAGGCUGUCCUUUGGAGAGAGAAUAACAUGGUGAGGAACCACAAAGUCAUUUCAUAUUAUCAAAGGCCACGUCUGUUUUCCAUUAAGAAGCAGGCCAGACAACUAACAAAAGGUAGAGUUGUUUUCUUGACUGGUGAUAUCUUGUCUAGACUCCAGAAAGCUCUCCUCUAUCCUGAUUCUAUGGGGUCUCUUAAACUCCAACUCUCAUCCUGUUCCUAAACCAGUCACUUUUUUUGGAACUCACCCCCACCAUUUUCCACCACCCAAAGUAUUAGAGUCUAAUCUUCUGCUGAAUUCUUUUUCAGCUGUUACUGUGCUUCUAUCCCUGGCACCAGCUCCUUCCUAAUUAAUGGCCUCUGUUUUUGAACUUUAUUUUGCUACCCACUGGCUCCUGCAGAACUCUUGCAUGGCUGGCUUCCCACUGUGUUUUAAGACACUGUCUCUGGCCUCAGUCCCAGCCCUACCGUGGAUCAUUUCUUCAGUUAAAGAAAUAUGAAAAUUGUUUGAAACAACUGGGAUACACUACUUGGAGAAAAGAAGAUCCAAGGAGCCCAUAUCAAAUGUCUAAGGCCCCUAGAUAAUCGAAAUCUAGAAGAAAGUCUAGAUUUAUUAUGUGGCUCCAGACAGGAUAUUAGAACAAAUGGGAAAACACUCUUCUGCCCAAUAUCGAGAACUUUCCAAAAUUGUGGUUGUCCAACAAUGGAAUAUGCUGCUACUAUAAGUCAUGUAUUUUCUGUAAUUGAGCAUACUCAAGCAGAAGUGUAAUGACUACUUCUUGGGAAUGUAGUAGAAGUGAUUCUUGAAUCAAAUAAGAGCUGGUCUGAGUACAGCCAAGGCCCUGCUGACUUCUUAAGUCAGCAAAACUGAGAUACCAAACUGUUCUUCACAGCCAACUGAUGCAAGUACAGUUCCCAAUAAAACCCCCUAUUAGCACAACAUUUCUUGAAUUAUCUGUUGUUUCUUCAUGAAGUUCCUUCAGAACGUUGGUUCAUUCGCCGCACACAUUUCUAAGACAUAAAUUAUCAUGAGAUGAGAGGAAACUCACAUUGCUCUCCAAAACACAGACAAGUACUUCUGUGUCAGUUUCAAGAAGGAUGGAGCAAGAGAGUCCCAUAAGGGCUCCCUGUUAGAAUCUGAGGAGAAAGAUCUUGAUUAUCAAAAACUGAAUCCUAGCUGUUCUAGAAGAGGGCAGUUUGUUUGUGGCUUGUUUUCCACCUCCAGUGGAAAAUGUUUUUUUGUUUCAAGUUACAAUCAUUUAAAAUGUCAAAACUAUCUUCAUAACACACAACCUGAGGCUAUAUUCUGAAACCAAAUGAAAUUCCAUGGAAACCACUUACAUUGCUCAGUAGAUUGGGAAGCCUCUCUUAAGUAAUCUCCCCUCGCCCAAGGAAUUUAAAACACAAGUGGAAACACUUCUCUUUUGUUACUCACUCAACUUGAUUGCCUCCACCCAGACUGAAACACAAAAAUACCUCUGCCUUCGGUAUGCUGAAAAUGAUUCUUCAAGCUAUGAGUUGAGAUAUUUCAUGGCAAGGGCUUUUAUCUCCAUAAAGUAUUUCCUGAAAGAACUACCCCAAUUCCAUUUGAGGGAAUAUUACACAGCCAAUAAACAUUAUGUUCACAAAGAGUUUCUAACAACAGUACCAAUGUUAUUUUUGUCAAAUGGAAACAAAGCAGUUAUUUCAAGUUUACUAGUGACAAAAGCCAUGUGUAAAAAGACUGUAGCCUCCAGGUCAGGAUGCCUCAGUAAAUCCACCCUUCAAUCAUCCCUCUGCUUUAAAUGCACAAAACGACUGAUAAAAUAUAAAAAAUGAAAACCAACAUGACAUUGCUUGUUCAAAAACAAGACAAAUACAUUUGUAAAGAUGGGACAAUAAUGUAAAAUGAUACGUAGGACUGAAGUCUCAGGACUGCAGGCUUCGAGCAAAAGGGCCCAAAACAAGUAGGUAUUUAGAUCGGUUCACAAGCUAGAGUCGGUGUUUGAAGCCAAGGGGUGGAGUAGCUUCUCUCAGCUCCUUCACUCCAAAGGAGGCACAAAAAUAAAAAUAGCGCAGGCCACCCUCUGUCUGAAACAAGUGCAUUUCAGUAGAUGCAAGUCCAAAAAGGCAGGUGGAACUAGGCACCAAUUCAAACCACCUUCUGUCUCUGUGAUAGAUCAGUAGUAUUCCCAAUAUCACCUUGUAUUAAUUUUCUAAGGCUGACAUGACAAAGUACCACAAACUAAGUGGCUUAAAACUAUGAAAAUUUAUUCUCUCACAUUUCUGGAGGAUACAUUCCCAUACUCAAGGUGUUUGAAGAGACAUACCUUCAUCAAAAGCUUUAGGGAAACAAUCUUUCUUUUCCUCUUUUAGCUUCUGGUGGACCCAGGCAUUCCUUGGUUUAUGGCAGCAUCACUCCAAUUUCUGCCUUGGUCUUCACAUAACCAUCUUCUGCUGUGAGUGAGUCUCUGUAUCUAAAUCUCCCUCUUCUUUCUUCUCUUAUAAAGACAUCAGCCACUGGAUUAGGGCUACUCCAAUCUAAUGUGACCUCAUCUUAAUUUGACUAUGUCUGCAAAGACCUUAUUUCCAAAUAAGGUCACAUUUACAGGUACCAGGAUUAGGACUUCAACUUAUCUUCUUGGGGACCCAGUUCAACCCACAACACACUCUGAAGCAGAAAUCCCCAUCACUGCCUUUAUCAGACCCAGCUCUGGACUGGGGACUCAGAGAAAUGGAUGAAGGAAACCACAAAACACCAGAAAGAAACGAAAAAUAAUUAAAAUCCUCCUUAGUCAAAAUGAGCACAGAAAUAAGAAUUUCAAAAUGUGUGCAGAAAUGUAAUAAGAAUCUCAAACUGUGCGAGGAACUAGAAAGCCACAAAAGAAAGCCAAAAAAUGGAUAAUUUGAACACAAAUUCACUCCAUUGUAAAACUGAUUUCACAGAAAUAUCAGACCAAGACUUUAAAAUGAAGUACAUACAAUAAAGAGGAUAAAAGAAGCCAUAAUGUUGAUUUAAAAGAACAAGGAAUCAUUAAGCAGGAAGAAAUCAAACAAGAACAAGAGGCUGUGAAAAAGACCAAUGGAUCCUGAAAAAUAAAAAUGUUGAUAUAAAGGUGACAUGACAGGAAAAAUUUUGGACUGUUCCUAGUUAAAGAGAGAGUUCAUUAACUAAAAGAUAGUCCUGAUGAAGCCACCCAGAAUAAGACACAGAGAGACAAAGCAAUUGUUUUUUAAUUAGAAAGACAGUGAAGACACAUGGAAAAGAGAAUGAGAGUCUCCAAUAUUUAAUUAAAAAGCAUCCACAAAGUAGAGAAUGGAGGAACUGGUAAAGAUGCAAUUUUUUUUUUUUUUUUUUUUGAGACAGGGUCUCACUCUGUCACCCAGGCUGGAGACCAGUGAUGCAAUCAUAAAUCACUGCAGCCUCGACCUCCCCAGGUUCAGGUGAACCUCCCACCUCAGCCUCCUGAGUAGUAGGACUACAGGUGCUUGCCACCAUACCUGGCUAAUUUUUGCAUUUUUUUGUAGAGACUGGUCUCACUAUGUUGCCCAGGCUGGCCUCGAACUCCUGGCUCAAGAGAUCCACCCACCUUGGCCUCCCAAAGUGCUAGGAUCACUGAGUCACCAUGCCCAACCAAAGAUGCAAUAUUUAAAAUGAUACUUGCUGAGCAUUUCAAAAUGAAAGAGCAAUGUGAGUUCUCAGAACAAUCAUGCCUUCUGAUAAAUAAAAGUAAAUCCAUAUUGGCAGGACAUAAAGCAGCAGUUUUUAACGUUUUUGGCACCAGGGACUGGUUUCACGGAAGACAAUUUUUUCACUGGGGGAGUGCAGGGGGUGGUUUUGGGAUGAAACUGUUCCACCUCAGUUCAUCCUAUGAGAUUCUAAUUCUCCUAUGAGAAUCUAAUGCCUCUGCUGAUUUGACAGGAAGCAGAGCUCAGGCGGUAAUGCUCGCUGGCCCGCUGCUCACCUCCUAUGCUGCGGCUGGGUUCCUAACAGGCCACGGACCGGUACCCGUCCACAGCUAGGGCUUAGGGACCCCUGACAUAAAGGAUAAGGAAACAACCUCAAAAAGGACCAGAGAGAAGACACAGAUUACCCAUGAAUGAGCAAAAACUAGUCCUUGAGAGGACUUCCAAGCUGCAGCCAUAGAUGGCAAAGAUCAGUGCAGUGGUACCACAGAGUGCUGAGAGAAAAUAAGCAUCUAGCCAGGCCUUGGUGGCUCACGCCUGUAUUCCCAGUAAUUUGGGAGGCCGAGGCAGGCAGAUCACCUGAGGUCAGGAGUUCGAGACCAGCCUAACCAACACGGUGAAACCCAUCUCCACCAAAAAUAUAAAUAUUAGCUGGGUGUGGUGGCAUGCACCUGUAAUGCCAAGUACCUGGGAGGCUAAGGCAUGAGAAUCACUUGAACUUGAGAGGAGGAGGUUGCAGUGAGCCACAGUCACACGAUUCUACUCUGGCCUGGGUGACAGAGCAAGACUCCGUCUCAAAAAAAAAAGAAAAGAAAAAAAAGAAGCAUCUAUCUAGAAUUUUAUACCCAGUUAAACCCUGGUUCAAAUGUGAUAGCAAAAUAAAUAUUUUUAUACACAUAAAAGACCAAGAGACUUUAACACCCAAAGACAUUUUCUAAAAGAACUAUUAAAGAAUGCACUUUAACAAAAAGAAAGAUAAACCCAUAGGGAGGAAUGAGAUUAAAGAAAAACACAGUGAACAGACAAAAAGGUUUGUUAAUAUCAGUCAAUGAAACUAACUACAAGCUGUGAACAAUAAUUACUAUGUUUUAUAUUUAAAAGGCAUAAAACUACAACUCUAAGCAACUAUGACAGGAAAGUGGGAUGUUCAAUGAGUAGUUAUGGUGUGGUAAGACUCUGAGAAGACAGCAGAAAUACUAAAGAACCAUAGGAUCACUAAGUAUGCAUGGAAAAAAGACUGGAAAGAAAUGCAAUAAAUGAGCCAGAUGCAGUGGCUCACACCUGUAAUCCCAACACUUUGGGAGGCUGAGGCAGGAGGAUCUCUUGAGGCCAGGAGUUUGAGAAUAGCCCUGGCAGCAUAACAAGACCUCUAUCUCUACAAAAAUAAAAAAUUAGGCCGGGUGUGGCAGCUCGUACCUAUAAUCCCAGCACUUUGGGAGACUGAGGUGGGCGGAUCACUUGAGGUCAGGUGUUCAACACCAGCCUGGCCAACAUGGAGAAACCCUGUCUCUACUGAAAAUACAAAAAUUAGUCUUACGUAGUGGUGUGUGCCUGUAAUCCCAGCUGCUCAGGAGGCUGAGACAGGAGAAUCGCUUGAACCCAGGAGGCAGAGGCUGAGAUCGUGCCACUGCACUCCAGCCUGGAUGACAGAGCAAAACUCCAUCUCAAAAAAUAAAAAUAAAAAAUACAAUAAAAUACAAUACAUUAGCCAGGCAUGGUGGCAUGCACCUGUAGUCCCAGCUACUCAGGAGACUGAGAUGGGAGGAUCCCAUGAGCCCAGGAGUUCAAGGCUACAGUAAGCUAUGAUCAUGCCACUGCACUGAUCAUCCUGAGGCAACAGAGCAAGACCCUGUCUCAAAAAAUAAAAAAGAAAUAGAAAAAAUAUUAAUAAUGAUUGUCUCAGAGAAAUUAUAUAAUGAGUAUUUUUUCUUUCCUUUUUAUUCUCCUCUGUAUUAAAUUUUCUAAAAUACAUAUAUAGACCUUUUAUGAAAAAAAAGUAAUCAUCUCUAUUAAAUCUCCUCACAUCACCUCUUCUCUUGUCUUCCCUUAAUCCUGAAGAAAUGUCUACUCCUUAAAGUGACAUUGUUAGCAAUACUAGCACUGGGUAGCCAAAGGGCAUCCAGAAAUUUCUCAAGAUAAUCUGACCAUUUUGCAUUGCUGUGCUGGACUGGUGUCUUAGUCGGCUCAGGCUAGUAUAACAAAAUACCAAAGGCUAGGUGGCUUAGUAGAAAUUUAUUUCUUACAGUUCUGCAGGCUGGGAAUCCCAAGAUAAGGUCCUAGCUGGUUCAGUUCCUGGUAGGGGCUCUCUUCAUUCCUUGCAGAUGGCCGCCUUCUAGCUGUGUCCUCAUUUGGCCUUUCAGGCUGAGUGCGUGGGGAGAAAGAGAGAGAGCUCUUUUUCCCUCUGCUUAUAAGGCCACCAAUCCUACUGGAUUAGUACUCCACCCUUAUAAUCUCGUGUAACCUUAAUUACGUCCAAAAAGCCCUAUCACCAAAUACCAUCACACUGGGCUUCAGCGUAUACAUUUUGAGGGGUACAAUUCAGUCCAAACAGCUGGUAUCCUGAAGAUCUGCCAAAUCCCAUCAUCUACUGUCACUCCAAGAACCUACACAGAAAGUCCUCACUGAUUCAAUAUAACUGCCCAAAGAUCCACCUUGGAUGGAUAGAAGGAUAGUUACAGUCUUUUUAAAAAGAAAGAAAGCAGUCAGAUGCCUAUAAUCCCAGUGCUUUAGAAAGCUGAGAUGGGAGGAUUGUUUGAGGCUAGAAGUUCAAUACCAGCCUGGGCCACAUAAUGAGACCCCAUCUCUAUUAAGUAAAGUAAAAUAAAUAAAAUGCAGUUUUAUGACAUUUAAAUACAUUUCUAAUGUAAACUAGUGUAUUAGUCUGUUCUCACACUGCUAAUAAAGACAUACAUAAGACUGGGUAAUUUAUAAAAGAAAGAGGUUUAACUGACUCGCAGUUCAGCCUGGCUGGGGAGGCCUCACAAUCAUGGCAGAAGGUGAAUGAGGAGCAAAAUCAUGUCUCUUACAUAGUGGCAGGCAAGAGAGAGUGUGUGCAGGGGAACUCCCCUUUAUAAAACCAUCAGAUCUCGUGAGACUUACUUACUAUCACAAGAACAGCAAAGGAAAGACUUGCCCCCCAUGAUUCAAUUACCUCCCACCAGGACCCUCCCAUGACACUUGGGAAUUAUGGGAGCUACAAUUUGUGAUUUGGGUGGGGACACAGCCAAACCAUAUCAACUAGCAAAUAACAAACUGUCAUCAAGAGAGGUAGCACUACCAGUCCUAACAGGAGUGAAUGCGAUGGAUAGCUUCUCUGAUACACAUCUUUGUGCAACACAAAACUAAAUACUAGCAUAUUUCAGGUGGCAAUAAGU